rnacentral:misc_RNA from 1 species
AAUGAAAAUCAUGAAUUCAUAUUACGUUGAAAAAAGGAACAAACAUAGCUUGAAUGAACCUAGAAUGGCCUCAAACUUUGUAUCAUCAUGGAAUGGAAUCAAAAAGUAAUAGAGGGCAUGAUUCACCUUCGCCAGGAUCAGCACGUAUUAACUCCAUCCUUGCAGUCUUUGGUCAAAUUGUAGAAUGUUUCAACACGGGUUUUUGCCCUAUAGAACACUUCAGUAUCCACCGCGACUCUCAUGUACCCAUCAAACUCGACUGGUCUACCGUUGUUUACAAGUGUUGUUUCGUUGUACCACUCACUAGUAUUUCCCCAUAAU